rnacentral:lncRNA from 1 species
AUGCUGGGAGAUGACACCYUUUCCUCACCCACCCUGCCCCACACCGUCCUUCACACUCACCUCCUUUGCUUUGGGAGCGGGUCGCGCAGAUGUGGCAAGGGAGAAAGGCUUCCUCUUGCUCUCACGUGCCUCAGACCUGCUCUCUCUUGGGCUGUCGCCCUUGCCCAGAAGCUCAGCCCCGUGCGCACCAUCCAGUUGUUGCUGAGCCCCUCCAGAGACUCUGCAUUCCCCGAGAGGACUCCCAGGUGCUCGGACACAAGACUGGGGUUUAUGCGCAGGGGCUGGCUUCGAAUGUGGGGGACGAUGUUCAAACCCGGCUGUCGUGAGCUCUUCCCUGCCCAGAUCCCCAGCCCGGCCCCCACGCCUGGGGCAGCUGGGGCAACGGCCCCGCCGGCAGCGCUGGGGCCCCUGGGGGUGGUGGGCACUGCUGUGGGGUGGUCGCUAGCAGGCCCUGCUCGCUGGCACCUGGAGAGCUCCUCAGCGAGUGCUGCUGCCUCGGGCACGUGUCUCUCGAAGCACGUUUCAUCCCUGCCAGUGUCUUGGUGGGAUCUGCUCUGCAGCAAGACGUCCCCAUCCGUGGUGUCAGCCACAGGGCGCGUGGUUUUGUCAGGCUCUGUGGUCUGGUCCUGGCCUCUGCUUGCUGACGCGUCUGGGCUGUCUGUGUGUGCCGACAGCCCCUGCACCACAGCCGUGCUGAGCUCCAAUGCACCUUCACCUGUGUCUGGCUGUGACGGCUGCCCACCGGGUCCUGGACUUGCACCUCCAGCACGGCUCCAGGCUGCCACCAGCAGCUGCCAGACUGAGUCCUGCAGGGCUUCGGCAGGUGGUGCGGGGCCGUGCGGGACAGGUCCCCGGCUCUCAGCCUCCCUGCCAUGCCCAGGUCUUGGAGGAUGCCUUGAGGAAGGCCUGCAGACUCCCUGGGAGAAGGCGUUGUGGACUGGCGUUGGCCCAUUUCACUGUUGUCUGCUCUCCUCCCUUCCAGUGUUGGCAAUAGUUUUCCUAUUAUGUCCCUCACCAAGGAAAYAUUCUCAGCAUUGA